rnacentral:rRNA from 1 species
UACGGAGGAUCCACGCGUUAUCCGGAAUCAUUGGGUUUAAAGGGUCCGUAGGCGGUCUUAUAAGUCAGUGGUGAAAUCUCUCCGCUCAACGGGGAAACGGCCAUUGAUACUGUAAGACUUGAAUUAUUGGGAAGUAACUAGAAUAUGUAGUGUAGCGGUGAAAUGCUUAGAUAUUACAUGGAAUACCGAUUGCGAAGGCAGGUUACUACCAAUGGAUUGACGCUGAUGGACGAAAGCGUGGGGAGCGAACAGG